rnacentral:rRNA from 1 species
CAGCCGCCACGGUAAGACAGAGGAUGCAAGCGUUAAUCGGAAUUACUGGGCGUAAAGCGUGCGCAGGCGGUUAUAUAAGACAGAUGUGAAAUCCCCGGGCUCAACCUGGGAACUGCAUUUGUGACUGUAUAGCUAGAGUACGGCAGAGGGGGAUGGAAUUCCGCGUGUAGCAGUGAAAUGCGUAGAUAUGCGGAGGAACACCGAUGGCGAAGGCAAUCCCCUGGGCCUGUACUGACGCUCAUGCACGAAAGCGUGGGGAGCAAACAGGAUUAGAUACCCGAGUAGUCCCUGUCUCUUAUAC